rnacentral:rRNA from 1 species
GUAACGCGGAGAGCUUGCUCUCUGGCGACGAGUGGCGGACGGGUGAGUAAUACUUAGGAAUCUGCCCAGUAGUGGGGGAUAACUCGGAGAAAUCCGAGCUAAUACCGCAUACGUCCUACGGGAGAAAGCGGGGGACUUUCGAGCCUCGCGCUAUUGGAUGAGCCCAUGUCAGAUUAGCUUGUUGGUAGGGUAAAAGCCUACCAAGGCGACGAUCUGUAGCUGGUCUGAGAGGAUGAUCAGCCACACCGGAACUGAGACACGGUCCGGACUCCUACGGGAGGCAGCAGUGGGGAAUAUUGCACAAUGGGCGGAAGCCUGAUGCAGCAAUGCCGCGUGUGUGAAGAAGGCCUGCGGGUUGUAAAGCACUUUUAUCGGGAAAGAAAAAGCCGAGGUUAAUACCCUUCGGCCUUGACGGUACCCGUUGAAUAAGCACCGGCUAACUCCGUGCCAGCAGCCGCGGUAAUACGGAGGGUGCGAGCGUUAAUCGGAAUUACUGGGCGUAAAGCGAGUGUAGGCGGCAACGUAAGUCGGAUGUGAAAUCCCCGGGCUUAACCUGGGAAUUGCAUUCGAUACUGCGUAGCUUGAGUCUGACAGAGGGAUGUGGAAUUCCGGGUGUAGCGGUGAAAUGCGUCGAUAUCCGGAGGAACACCAGUGGCGAAGGCGGCAUCCUGGGUCAAGACUGACGCUGAGGCUCGAAAGC